rnacentral:misc_RNA from 1 species
UUUCCGUAGGUGAACCUGCGGAAGGAUCAUAAACACGAAUUAUUUAUUAUCCAAUAUCAAAAACCAAACGUGAACCUUUUCCCUCCCUAUAUAUAUAUAUAUAGGCUAACCUCAUUUAAUUAAUUUUUAACACUUUAAACCUUAACUAGUUUUAAUGUAGCCAUUAAAACAUCUAAACUAAAAAAGACAAGGUUAUUCGAAAGAGUAAACUUUAACUUUUUUCGAUUUACGAAAAAUUUAAAAGAACAACUCUUAACAAUGGAUAUCUUGGUUCUC